AAAAAAAGAUAAAAAUUGAAUUGUGCAGAGUGUGAGCAUCAACGAUUCAAGGACACUGCCAAAAACAAAUCACAGCUGAUCUGAUUGGAUUUCAGUCAAACAAAGGCCACCCAAAUAAAAAAGUCUGCAUCUGAUCUAAGUGCUACAAGCAAAAAAUGCAGCUUGCUCAUCCAGCCUUGCUCCUCCUGUCCACAAGAUCGACAGCAGCCGCUCGAGCUCGGCGACCAUGGUUGCGAGGUCGGCUGGCCUUCCAGUCGCACCAUGCCACACGCAGACAUGCGUCUCCUCAUGUACACAGAGACGCACCUCACCCCGGACUCCUUCCGCCAGAUCCUUGGUCGAGGGGGAGAUACGAGGGGCAGGAGACGCCGGCGAGGCUACACUUCUGACGUGGGGCAGAAGUCGGCGACGUAGCAGGCGUGAUGCAGGCCGCAACUUCGACGAGCCAGACCUCGGCUGCGCGUCCGCCGCGGCCGCGCACAAGGGGGUGCCGUCGAGGAUGGGGUGCAGCGGAGGAAGCGAAGGGGCUACGGCAGCCGGCCGCCGCCACGACCAUCGAGGGAGAGAGGAGGGCAGAGGUCGUGGGUGGGCUGGGGCGCGGGCUGCGGGGUGGGUGAGUUGAGGAGAAGAGACACGAGCGAGCCGUUCCGCG
rnacentral:rRNA from 1 species